UGUUAUGGCGGCUGUGCGUCGGAGACUCCAGGGUCUGCCGGCGUUGUGAGGUGCCGGUUCGCUAACCUUCGCACAGCCGCCACCC
rnacentral:antisense_RNA from 24 species